rnacentral:lncRNA from 1 species
GAUCCCCUAGGCUUGAGGGUUGGAGCUGCAGCCCAAACCACAACAUCCACCAUGCUAUUUUUAACAUGCUAGCUUGAGUCCAACUUCCUCUUAGCAUGUGUGCAACGUGCCUCAGGUGGCAUGUGACCAGGAUUCAUCACUGAAUUUGGUCCGCUGGUUGGCUCAUUAGCUUGCCCGGCCCAGGCCGGGUACAGACAGGGAGUUCGACAUGAGUCUGUCAACCCGGGCUGGGUAUAGACGGAGUGUGAUCUGAGUCUGUCAACCAGGGCUGAGAGGCGUGCUCCUAGCUGUAGGGUAGACAUACCCUAUGGGUCAACUGCUCAUACAUACUCUCUCUUUCUCUCUCUCACCACCUCUCCUCCGUAGAGCUGCUUGUCACCUAAUUCAGACAUUCCCUCUGUCCAUCACCAACCAUCAGUGGGAAUGAAAAGCCCUCAAACAGUGGAACAGCUCUGGUUCCACAGCAAAGAACAUCACAAGGGAUAGAAACCCAUAAAAAGGAGAUUAACAAGCCAUGGACAGUGCAAUGGGGAAACUAGUAGAUCUGUGACUAUGGUGGAUCAAGAAGCCUAUUCCUUUCCCUAUCUCAAGUAACAGUGUACAAGCAUUCCAGCUACUUCAAAAGCCCAUAUAGUAGCUGAAGUAGCACUGAGUGCAGCAACACCUAAAUACCUUUAAGAGUGACCACUGAGUGACCACUGUGCUCAGAUAUGACAGUGAUGGGCACAAUAUAAGAACAUGAUGAGAAAAGAACAGAACCACCGCUGAACCUGAGCGGAUUCUUUUUCUCCAAUCCCUGUAGGACCUUAUUUAUCCUAGACUUCCCAGUCAGUGGUAGCUCAAGUCUAGACAAAGCAUUGGUAGUGUUUUAACCACUCUGUCACCUGGACCUGCUCUGAGUUGGUCCUGUGCCACCCAGGGAGUCCUCCUCCACCAGAGAAAUCUACAGUUGGCUCAUUAUGCCCGCUUUGAUUCUGCUUUGUGCCAAUGAUCUAGUUCCUUAUAUAUAUAUAUAUAUAUAUUUCUUCCUCUUGGUGCUUAUUGCCAUCGUAGCACUGACAGUUAUGUGAUUGGUUCUCUCUGGAGCAGAUACCAGAGAUGCAUCAUGGAUCACUGGUCAGAGAGCCUGGAAAUAGCAAUGAAGUCAACCCCCCCCACAAAC